rnacentral:lncRNA from 1 species
CUCAGUUAACAGAACUCCCAAGCCUUUGCCUCAGUGACUUCUUGGAAAUAGCAACCAUCUUCUACAGCUGAGGGGGACUUUGAGAACAGGUUGUGGGAAGGCAUUGAAUAUUAGAUCAAAGAGUACAAGACUUUGUCAGAAUACAAACAAUGCAAUGGAAGACCCAGAGCUUUGCACGCAUGUGCACCACUGGAUGCUAAGUAUCUGCAGCUGUUGCUCGAGGGUCUGGCAAAUUACUAGAUGUGUCAGGGGAAUUACAGGAUGCAACUCUUCGGAAUUAAGACCAGGAGUCCUUAAACUCUGCAAGCACUGAAUUCCUCCACAGGAGACUUUCAUCAGCUGUCAGAUUAAUCAAUUCUGAAGGCUUCCCAUUCUUCAUUUAUCUGCUUAUUAAAUUGUCCAAGAUCUGUGGGAUGAUGAAGUGGAUCACACUCCCCAAAAUAGC